GAUGAACGCUGGCGGCGUGCCUAAUACAUGCAAGUCGAGCGAACAGACGAGGAGCUUGCUCCUUUGACGUUAGCGGCGGACGGGUGAGUAACACGUGGAUAACCUACCUAUAAGACUGGGAUAACUUCGGGAAACCGGAGCUAAUACCGGAUAAUAUAUUGAACCGCAUGGUUCAAUAGUGAAAGACGGUUUUGCUGUCACUUAUAGAUGGAUCCGCGCCGCAUUAGCUAGUUGGUAGGGUAACGGCUUACCAAGGCAACGAUGCGUAGCCGACCUGAGAGGGUGAUCGGCCACAGUGGAGCUGAGACACGGUCCAGACUCCUACGGGAGGCAGCAGUAGGGAAUCGUCCGCAAUGGGCGAAAGCUUGACGGAGCAACGCCGGGUGAGUGAUGAAGGUCUUCGGAUCGUAAAACUCUGUUAUUAGGGAAGAACAAAUGUGUAAGUAACUAUGCACGUCUGGACGGUACCUAAUCAGAAAGCCACGGCUAACUACGU
rnacentral:rRNA from 1 species